rnacentral:rRNA from 1 species
UACGUAGGGGGCAAGCGUUGUCCGGAAUCAUUGGGCGUAAAGAGCGUGUAGGCGGCCCGGUAAGUCCGCUGUGAAAGUCCAGGGCUCAACCCUGGGAUGCCGGUGGAUACUGUCGGGCUCGAGUCCGGAAGAGGAGUGUGGAGUUCCUGGUGUAGCGGUGAAAUGCGCAGAUAUCAGGAGGAACACCGGUGGCGAAGGCGGGUCUCUGGGCCGAAAUUGACGCUGAGGAGCGAAAGCGUGGGGAGCAAACAGG